rnacentral:tRNA from 1 species
CCGGGAGUGGCGAAACUGGAAGGCGCGCCGGGUUUGCGGACCCGGUGGUGUGUAAGCACCGUGCGGGUUCGAGUCCCGUCUCCCGGA